AACUCUGUCCGUUCGGCGUCUGUUUGACGUGCUCGGGCCGGCCCAAAUUGGUAUCGGUCCCGGGGCGUGACAGACAUCGUGGUAUCAGAGCCAAGAGUGAAAGAAUAGGGAUGGACCUAGAGACCCUUAGGAUUGGAAGGUCUUAAGGAUCUAGGAAACGUGAGUGACGUGGGAUCAAAGUUAGCGAAAGCAUAUGAUUGGGUUAAGUUGGGACGUCUCUAAUGUGAUUAGAGGCUAAGUUUAAAUUUCGUUUAUCCUCUACUUCUAGUGUUGUGUCGGGCGGCCGACGACAUGACGCUUGAGGC
rnacentral:lncRNA from 1 species